rnacentral:rRNA from 1 species
GAUGAACGCUAGCUACAGGCUUAACACAUGCAAGUCGAGGGGAAACGAUAUUGGAAGCUUGCUUCCGAUAGGCGUCGACCGGCGCACGGGUGAGUAACGCGUAUCCAACCUGCCCACCACUGGAGGAUAACCUUGCGAAAGUAAGACUAAUACCCAAUGACGUCCAUAGAAGACAUCUGAAAUGGAUUAAAGAUUUAUCGGUGAUGGAUGGGGAUGCGUCUGAUUAGCUUGUUGGCGGGGUAACGGCCCACCAAGGCGACGAUCAGUAGGGGUUCUGGGAGGAAGGUCCCCCACAUUGGAACCGAGACACGGUACAAACUCCUACGGGAGGCAGCGGUGAGGAAUAUUGGUCAAUGGGCGAGAGCCUGAACCAGCCAAGUAGCGUGCAGGAUGACGGCCCUAUGGGUUGUAAACUGCUUUUAUAAGGGAAUAAAGUGAGUCUCGUGAGACUUUUUGCAUGUACCUUAUGAAUAAGGACCGGCUAAUUCCGUGCCAGCCGCCGCGGUAA